AUACUUACCUGGCAGGGGAGAUACCAUGAUCACCAAGGUGGUUUUCCCAGGGCAAGGCUUAUCCAUUGCACUCCGGAUGUGCUGACCCCUGCGAUUUCCCCAAAUGUGGGAAACUCGACUGCAUAAUUUGUGGUAGUGGGGGACUGCGUUCGCGCUUUCCCCUA
ensembl:snRNA U1 U1 spliceosomal RNA